GUAUCCCUACGUGAGGCAGCAGUAGGGAAUUUUCGUCAAUGGGCGCAAGCCUGAACGAGCAAUGCCGCGUGAACGAGGAAGGUCUUCGGAUCGUAAAGUUCUGUUGAAGGGGAAAAAGAGCGGAGAGAGGAAAUGGUCUCCGAUUGAUAUUAACCUUCGAGGAAGUCACGGCUAACUACGUGCCAGCAGCCGCGGUAAUACGUAGGUGGCGAGCGUUAUCCGGAUUGAUUGGGCGUAAAGGGUGCGUAGGCGGCCUGCUA
rnacentral:rRNA from 1 species